AACGAACGCUGGCGGCAGGCUUAACACAUGCAAGUCGAACGCCCUCUUCGGAGGGAGUGGCAGACGGGUGAGUAACACGUGGGAACCUACCUAGGGGUACGGAAUAACUCGGGGAAACUC
rnacentral:rRNA from 1 species